UUCCUACGGGGCGCAGCAGUGGGGAAUAUUGGACAAUGGGGGGAACCCUGAUCCAGCGACGCCGCGUGAGUGAAGAAGUAUUUCGGUAUGUAAAGCUCUAUCAGCAGGGAAGAAAAUGACGGUACCUGACUAAGAAGCCCCGGCUAACUACGUGCCAGCAGCCGCGGUAAUACGUAGGGGGCAAGCGUUAUCCGGAUUUACUGGGUGUAAAGGGAGCGUAGACGGUGCAGCAAGUCUGAUGUGAAAGGUCGGGGCCCAACCCCGGGACUGCAUUGGAAACUGUAUGGCUGGAGUGCAGGCGCGGG
rnacentral:rRNA from 1 species